UCAGGCUGGAUUAAUCCAUUUUCUCUGCCAGGAAAUCAGACAGAGGUAAGGGGUCUUUGAUACUGUGUCCCUUGAUGGCUGUUUCAACUGGCCACAGAGCCCUGCUGCUGACCUUCAGGAUUGCCCGGUCCCUGCCCUUCCUGGAUCCUGGCUCUUCAGCUUCCCUCCAUCUUGUGACACACUCUGGCAUCCUCCUACUGAAUUCCACCUUUGGCUGAGUUGGCUUCUGCCCCUGGCCUCCAAAAGCACCUUCACUACUACAGACUGGCCGAGGGAGUUGGGAUCGGAGUUAGUGUGUCGAAGGUUGUCCCUGUGAUUCCAAAUUGGGCCGUCCCUAAGAAAUGGGCCCAUCUGGUCAGUUUCCUAAAGAAACCACGAGAUGCCAAGGCUGAAGCUGUCGUUUGUUGAAAGAGCUGUGGCAGCCUGUGGCAGCCUGGGAAAGACACUUUGUGCUGCAGCUGGCACUCGCCCCUGAGAUGCCGGAAGCUCAUCAGUGAGGGGCAUAGGAAGAAGCGAGCUAAGGGGAGGCUGGCGGGGGCCUGCACGGGGCAUCACCCUCAUUCCUCGUUGGACAGAGCCCGCUAGGGGAUGAAAGAGAUGUUCAAGAUCACUCCCAUAGUUCUGGGAGGCAGGAAAACUUCAGUGAAUGAGAUUCCUGUUUCUGGAAAUUUACCUGAAGGCUGGUGUGAUAGGUGAGACAGCCCCCUGCAAUCCCCACCCCUGGUGGUCAGGUCCCCGUGCAGUCUCCUCCCAUGUUAACUAGGACUGACCUGGGCGACCAGUAGGAUAUGGCAUGUGGUUCUUGAGGCUAUGUCAUAAAAGACCUCAUAGCUUCAGCCUUCUCUUCUGGAUCACUCACUGUGGGGAAGCCAGCCACCAGCCCUACAGAGAGGCCCACGAGGUGAGGAACUCAGGUCACCUGCCAAGCGUCAGCACCUGCUUGUCAACCAGGUGAGUGAGCCACCUCCCACUCAAGCCUUCAAGUGCCUGCAAUCCCAAUGGGCAUCUUGACCACAACUUCAUGCGAGACCCUGGGUCAGAGCCCCCACAGAAUCUGUGAGACAAUAAAUGUCUGUUGUUUUCAGCUGCUAAGUCUGGGGGCGAUCUAGCAAUAGACGACUAAUAAUGGAGGAUGAGUAUGUGCUGGCUCGGAACUUUCCAGAAAACGUCACAAAGGGGACUACGGGAUAAAACUUGCAUCAAGGGGACCUUGGGCACCAAAGGCAGCCAUGGGGAUUCCCUGACUUCUAUAUCAGGGAGAAGGGGAAGGGAAACCCCUUUGGCAAUUGAGGGAAUGGAGCCCAGACCAUUGGAAAUAGCUGCCUAAAAGAACGCCCGUGUUCUUUUAGGGUCUGUCUGGCUUCAUCACCAUGACAGACAAAAUAAGUUUAACAGAAAAUAUCGGGAUUGCUGAGUGCCCCUCCUCGGGAUAGUGAGAGACCCACCUCUUCUCCUGUGUCUACCAGUCCAGUGGACGCCAUCCUGUUUUGCUUGGUAAAAGAAGAAACCAGAAAAUCUGGUCUAGACCACUGAGGGGGCCCGUUCUCACCCGCACAGCCUCUCCCAAACCACAAGUUCCAACAGUUUCUCAGAGCGGACCUGAGGAAAUUAAAUACUGCCUGCACAAAACACCCAGGGGUCUGUCCUGAAGGAACAACUCAGGGACGUCCCGAUUUGUUAGAGCAAAGCUGUCCAGACCACUGAUCCAAGCUGCCCCCCUGGGAUGCUGAGUCAGCCUGUGUGCUUCCCCGGGAAAGACGGGGAGACUCAAGGUUGGGCUAACAGCUCAGGGACUUCUCAUGGCCUGUCCGGGCUUGUCCACUUCCCUCUGGGAAAGCAAGCAAAUGAGUCCUGUUCACAGCACAAAGAAGUUUUGUCCAGUAGAAAAGAGACUCAUGAUUUUACCUUUCUGAGAAUUAUAUCUGAGCAGAUCGCUGCUCAGAUUCCUGGUCCCCAAGGAAUCUACAAAGUCUCUCGCACCAUCCAUCCCUCCUGCCCCCCAAUCUGUUCAGGUGGCACCAGCAGCUGCAUCCUCUGGGUCACCACUGUGCCCAGAACAGACUUCGAGGACAAGCUGCCCUUGUGUGCUUCUCUGCCAGCAUCUCCCUCCAGACUGCCAGCUCCCGAGGGCAGGGGCCAGGUCUGAUUCUUGCUGGAUCUGCAGAGCUCAGUAGAUGCUGUUGAAUGAAUUUAUGUAUAUACUUGGUUUGGACCACACCUCACUGCUGGUGAAGGAGCCUGGUGUAUGGGAAGGGCAAUUCAUUCAUGUGGCCUCUGAGCCUCAGUUUUUGCAUCUGCGAAAUGAGGAUAUUUCCUAUGUGCUGAUGGGAAGGAUGUCUUAAGUAACUGCUGCAUAGUUUCCAUUUUCUUCUUUUAAUUUCUAUCGCCACCUCCCACCCCACCCCCCAGGAUAGUAUGAACAGGAACAGGGUCAUUUCCUCUGGCUCUCCACCCUGCAAGGCCCACAGAAAGUGUCCAGUGACGUACCGCCACCCGGUUCAUAAAUGAGAAGGGGCCAGGGUGCCCACAGCCGGCGGACAAGCAGCAGGAUCUACUCAGCAGAAGCCUUGCACUCCAAUGCUGGGGGGUUGAGGGCAAAGGGAGGGCUGGAGACCCGAACACGAACAGGAACCCCAAGGGAAUAACUGAAGGGAGAGAAUGGCUGGAAGAGGCUGGAUUUCAAGAAGCCACAAGUCCCGGCCCCAGCCCCAGGAACGCACCUGCUUCUCUGGCCCCCUCCUUCCCUAAACAGCAUCAUCUGCUGAGAAAGCAGACUUCUGAAUUCCUGGGGUUCGGGCGCCAUCUCGUGGCCAUUUCUGAAACUGCCCAUCCCGGCUGAGCAGAGCCCAGAGGUCCAAGAGCAACGGGAACCAGGCCAACACUCCUCCAACUUUCCUGGCCCCGACCCUCUUCAUCCUCACCUUCUCCCUUCCAUUUAUUGAGCACUGAAUAUAUUCCAGUCUCCAUGUUCAGCCCC